GACGAACGCUGGCGGCGUGCCUAAUACAUGCAAGUCGAGCGGGGGUAAUGAGGUAGCUUGCUACUGAGUUACCCUAGCGGCGAACGGGUGAGUAACGCGUGGGUAACCUGCCCUAAAGACUGGGAUAACAGUUCGAAAGGGCUGCUAAUACCGGAUGUGCCUGUAGUGUUGCAUGGCAUUACAGGGAAAGGGGGAACCCGCUUUAGGAUGGGCCCACGUCCCAUCAGCUAGUUGGUGAGGUAACGGCCCACCAAGGCGACGACGGGUAGCCGGCCUGAGAGGGUGACCGGCCACACUGGGACUGAGAUACGGCCCAGACUCCUACGGGGGGCAGCAGUAGGGAAUCUUCCGCAAUGGGCGAAAGCCUGACGGAGCGACGCCGCGUGAGGGAAGAAGGCCUUCGGGUUGUAAACCUCUGUUCUCCGGGACGAAGUAAGUGACGGUACCGGAGGAGGAAGCCCCGGCCAACUACGUG
rnacentral:rRNA from 1 species